UACGUAGGGUGCAAGCGUUAUCCGGAAUUAUUGGGCGUAAAGAGCUCGUAGGCGGUUUGUCACGUCUGCUGUGAAAACUGGAGGCUCAACCUCCAGCCUGCAGUGGGUACGGGCAGACUAGAGUGCGGUAGGGGAGAUUGGAAUUCCUGGUGUAGCGGUGGAAUGCGCAGAUAUCAGGAGGAACACCGAUGGCGAAGGCGGCUACCUGGACAUCAACUGACGCUGAGACGCGAAAGCGUGGGGAGCAAACAGG
rnacentral:rRNA from 1 species